GGAGAGAUGGCUGAGCGGACCAAAGCGGCGGAUUAUCCGUACCGAGGGUUCGAAUCCCUCUCUCUCCA
rnacentral:tRNA from 1 species